rnacentral:rRNA from 1 species
UACGGAGGGGACUAGCGUUGUUCGGAAUUACUGGGCGUAAAGCGCACGUAGGCGGAUUUGUUAGUCAGGGGUGAAAUCCCGAGGCUCAACCUCGGAACUGCCUUUGAUACUGCAAAUCUCGAGUCCGGAAGAGGUGAGUGGAAUUCCUAGUGUAGAGGUGAAAUCGUAGAUAUUAGGAAGAACACCAGUGGCGAAGGCGGCUCACUGGUCCGGUACUGACGCUGAGGUGCGAAAGCGUGGGGAGCAAACAGG